ACAAUGUAAUGCAGCAGAUGACAUGGAGUGAGUUUAGAAUUCUUAAACAAGGAGCGUCAAUUUGAUUGGCUGUUGCAUGCCAUUUAAAUCGCAUUUGAGUUGCUUCAUGUAACAGCAAAGUUGCUUGCAACUGGAACUAAAAUUGUGUGAAAGUUGCUUUGUGUAACGCACUCCUUAGAAUCUCCUUUGGCAGUGAUUACGGCUGUUGGUCUUUCUGGGUUCCCUUUUUUGCGAGGCAUCGGACAACCUUCCUGGUCUUUGUGGUUGAAUCUGUGUUUGAAAUUCACUGCUCGACUGAGGGACCUUACAGAUAAUUGUAUGUGAGGGGUACAGAGAUGAGGUAGUCACUUAAAAAUCAUAUUAGGCAUUAUUAUUGCACACAGAGUGAGUCCAUGCAACUUAUUAUGUGGCUUGUUAAGCAAGCCCCUGAACUUAUUUAGGCUUGCCAUAACAAAGGGGUUGAAUACUUAUUGACUCAAGACAUUUCAAAAACAUAAUUCCUCUUUGACAUUAUGAGGUAUUGUGUUUAGGCUAGUGACACAACAUCUCAAUGUAAUACAUUUUUUAAUUAGGCUGAAACAACAAAAUGUUGAAAAAGUCAAGGGGUGUGAAUACUUUUUGAAGGCACUGUACAGCCAUUUUGUUUACAGAAAUGGGAACAGGGGUUAGCAAAGUGUGUUGUGAAAGGGAAUGUGUAGAGGCAUUUAUUAGUGAGCUUCGGUUAGAGUCAGACAGACACCAACAGAUGCGCUGAGGAGGAGGCGGCAGUAUAUGGAGCUUGCAUGACAGAAAAUCAGAGAGAACAGUUAUAUAAACAUCAAUGUCAUGAUUUUGUGAUUAGAAGUUGGGUAUUUGAGACUAUAAUGAUUGUUAUUAUUGGCCUAUAAAACCAAAUGUAUAGUUUUAUUCACAUAUCAAUUCAGUGGCGCUUAGAUAUCGUUGAAGGGUCGUUGUGUCCUUGGUAAACACACUGAACAAAACAUAAAUGCAACAUGUAAUGUGUUGGUCCCAUGUCUCGUGAAAUAAAAGAUCCCAGAAAUGUUCCAUACGCACAAAAAGCUUACUUCUCUCAGAUUUUGUGCACACAUUUGAUUACAUUCCUGUUAGUGAGCAUUUCUCCUUUGCCAAGAUAAUCCAUCCACCUGACAAGUGUGACAUAUCAAGAAGCUGAUUAAACAGCAUGAUCAUUACACAGGUGCACCUUGUGCUGGGGACAAUAAAAGGACACUCUAAAAUGUGCAGUUUUGCCACACAACACAAUGCCACACAUGUCUUAAGUUUUAAGGGACUGUUCAAUUGGCAUGCUGACUGCAGGAAUGUCCACCAGAGCUGUUGCCAGACAAUUGAAUGUUCAUUUCUAAUGCUAAUAUGCCACCUCCAACGUCGCUUUAGAGAAUUUGGCAGUACUUCCAACUGGCCUCACAACUGCAGACCAUGUGUAUGGCGUCAUGUGGGCGAUCAACGUAUACAACAGCGUGUUCCAGUUCCCGCCAAUAUCCAGGAACUUUGCACAGACAUUGAAGAGGAGUGGGACAACAUUCCACAGGCCACAAUCAACAGCCUGAUCAACUUUGUGCGAAGGACAUGUGUCACGCUGCAUGAGACAAAUGGUGCUCCCACCAGAAACUGACUGGUUUUCUUUUCCACUCCCCUAACUUUUUUGGGGGGUAUCUCUGACCAACAUAUGCAUAUCUGUAUUCUCAGUCAUGUGAAAUCCAUAGAUUAGGGCCUAAUGAAUGUAUUUCAAUUGAC
rnacentral:lncRNA from 1 species